rnacentral:rRNA from 1 species
UGGCGGACGGGUGAGUUACGCGUGGGUAACCUGCCUCAUACGGGGGGAUAACAGUUAGAAAUGACUGCUAAUACCGCAUAAGACCACAGCACCGCAUGGUGCAGGGGCAAAAACUCCGGUGGUAUGAGAUGGACCCGCGUCUGAUUAGGUAGUUGGUGGGGUAACGGCCUACCAAGCCGACGAUCAGUAGCCGACCUGAGAGGGUGACCGGCCACAUUGGGACUGAGACACGGCCCAA